GGUUAAGUGACUAAGCGUAGACGGUGGAUGCCUUGGCAGUCAGAGGCGAUGAAGGACGUACUAACCUGCGAAAAGCGAUGGUGAGCUGGUAAGAAGCAUUUGAGCCAUCGAUGUCCGAAUGGGGAAACCCACCUGCAUAAGCAGGUAUCUUAGCGUGAAUACAUAGCGCUAAGAGGCGAACUCGGGGAACUGAAACAUCUAAGUACCCGAAGGAAAAGAAAUCAAUUGAGAUUCCGGCAGUAGCGGCGAGCGAACCCGGAGCAGCCCUUAAGCGGCUUAGGCGUUAGGUGAACAGGUUGGAAAACCUGGCAAUAAAGGGUGAUAGCCCCGUAACCGACGGCGCCUUAGACGUGAAAACGAGUAGGACGGGACACGUGAUAUCUUGUCUGAACAUGGGGGGACC
rnacentral:ncRNA from 1 species